rnacentral:lncRNA from 1 species
UGGUGGGAAAGCUGCUGACCAGCAAGGUCACAGGCUUCCUCCUCUCUGCAAGUAGUCUCAAGGCCGAAGACAGGCUGGUGGGAAAGCUCUGACCAGCAAGGCCAUAUGCUCCCCCGCCCCUACCUAAAACCCCAAAUAAAAACCCUUCCUCUUAGCUUUUCGGGGAGUUUGGGAUUUGAGCGUUAGCUGCCCUCUCUCCUUGCUCAGCGCUGUGCAAAAAUAAAGUUCUUACUUUCUUCCACCACACCCGGUGUCAGAGAUUGGCUUGCUGCGCAACGGCCCCCCGGUACAUAGUUGUAUAUUCUUCAUUGUGGGUUCUUCUAGUUGUGGCAUGUGGGACGCCGCCUCAGCGUGGUUUGAUGAGCAGUGCCGUGUCCGCGCCCAAGAUUUGAACCAACGGAACACUGGGCCGCCUGCAGCUGAGCGCGCGAACUUAACCGCUCGGCCACGGGGCCAGCCCCAAUUAAGAUUUCUUGACUGAGUGGAUGCCUUUGAAGUUCUGCUGCUUAAUUCGAAGGCAUGUGCGGAUAGCUUUCACGUUACCCAGAAGUCGGAAAACCCGUCAGCCGGCGGUUGAGAGCUUGGUGUGUGUGAGACAUGGUGGAAUGUGGAAAGGAGUAGCAAGCGCUGUUCUCCACUCUGCUGGAGGAAUGAGAGACCCCCUUUUUUUUUUUUCUUUUUUCAGAGAAGGAGAAUAGAAGAAAUAGUGCAGCUCUGGCAGAGCCCUAGCUGUGCGACGUUUGUCCUUUAACAAAAUUACUAGAUGGUUCUCUUGUUUGGGGCCAGUGCAGUAAUGGGAGUGGAAGUUUCAACUGUGAUUUGGAAGGUGGUGUGGGGAGUGGAUUGUAGGGGUUGGCAAAGGACUCACAAUGGGAUUCAAGGAGCUGCUCUAAUGAAGAGCCCAAACUCAAGGCUAGGGGUACAGUUGAACUCUGUGAGAAGAUAGUGUUACAACAGCUCAAGUGGGUUUUGAUAGGUCUUCCAGGCUUUCUUUUUUUUUUCUGUUUAAUAGAAAUGGAAUCUCCAUGUACCUAUCACCCAGGUUCAACAAUCAUUUUGCUAAUCCUACAUCGUCUGUUCACUCUACUUUUUUUCUGACUAUUUUAAAGAGAAUCCCAGACAUGCAAUAUAAUAUGACUGGUAAAUAAUUGAGAUUACAUCUCUAAGUGAUAAGGACACUUAAAAAUUUCACUCUAAGCCACACUGAUAUAAUCACACUUAAAAAUUGAUUACUUUUACAAUGUUUAGUACACAGUCUAUAUUCAAAUUUCCCUGAUUGUUUCAAAAAAGUUUUUUUCUUGGUUGGUUGAGAAGGACCUAAAUAAGGUUUCUAUGUUGCAUUUGACUGUUAGAUCUCUAAGUCCCUUUCCGUCUCUACCGGUCACUGCCUCCUCCCCUCCUUCAGGCCAUUUACUUGCUACCAAAUGAGAUCCUUUGGUAAAUUGUCCCACAUUCUAGAGUUGGCUGAUUGCUUUUUUGUGGUAUUGUUUAACUUCCUGUCCUAUUCAAAUUUUCUGUAAAAUGGUGGGUUGGCUGUACAGUGCUGAUUAGAUUCAGGUCUUUUUUUUUGGCGAGCAUAGUUGCUGCUGUGUAUGCCUCCUGUAUCACAUCUGAGGACUGUCAUGUCUGGUUAUCCCACCUUUGGUGAUGCUAACAUUAACCGAGGUUUGGGUUCAGUGGUUGUCAACCUGAUGCCUUCAUUAUCAAUCCCCAUCAAACUCUCACCUGAUGGCUUUAGCAGCCAUUGAUGUUACGGCUGGAUCCGUUACUAUAUGUAGUUGCAGAACAGUGACAUUCUCCCUCUGCCAUUCCUUCUGCAUUUACUCCCCGGAACUGUAUACAGGACAGCAUUGCCUCGGCACUUACUUGUUUACCCUGAGAUAAGGCCUAUUCAGGAAAGGCUGGGGAAGUGUUCGAGUCAUUCUUUUCUCAAGCUUUAGAGCGUGAAGUGGUGCCCAGACACCUCCAAAGGUGAUCAAGUAUCAUGAACUUAGGAUUUUUUUAUACUUGUUUCUUGCUGGAAAAUGGUAGGUAGAGAUCCUGAUGUUUGCUAGUGGCGCUUUCUGCUACUGCCUUAUUGCUGCUGGACUAUUCGAUAAGCAGAGUCAGGGAAUGCCUCCUUUUUUAUUUUAAAAGAGAAAAGGGGCUUUUACUUAAAUUCUUGGAUUUUAAUGUUUUUUUCUUAGCCUGAAAAUCUUGGUUUCUAUCAACAUUGACAUAGUAACCUAUUUGAUUUAUCUUUCAAAAUAACAAUACUAGUAUAAAUAGUAAGACCAAUGGUGCAGUUGAGUCCUUUGUGAUUCUAUUUUGUCCUUAGAAUACAUUUCAUAAGGAUAAACAAUAAAAACUCUGGUUUGAGUCAAAGAAAUAUUUUUAUUUGAUUAAGGCAUAAUUGAUUAAGGUACAGUUGAGUUAUUUUAGUUCAGGCUUUAAUUUUUAGGGAUGUGCUUUUUGAUUUAAUUUUAUUUUUUAAUUAUAUAGAAUAUUUACUUGACCUCAGAGUUGAACUAUAUGAGAAGAUGCAUUCACAGGGGCUGGCCCGGUGGCGCAGUGGUUAAGUUCGCACGUUCUGCUUCAGCGGCCCGGGGUUCACUGGUUCAGAUCCCGGGUGUGGACAUGGCACCGCUUGGCACACCAUGCUGUGGUAGGUGUCCCACAUAUAAAGUAGAGGAAGAUGGGCACAGAUGUUAGCUCAGGGUCAGCCUUCCUCAGCAAAAAGAGGAGGAUUAGCAGCAGUUAGCUAGGGCUAAUCUUCCUCAAAAAAAAGAAAAAAAAAAAAGAAGAUGCAUUCACAGAUUUGUCUGCAUUUCCAUAUCUUCCACUCUGUUCGUUUUUAUUCCUCUGUAGGUAAUCAUUUUUAUUAGGUGUUGGUUCCAUUGUUUCAUUUUGAAAAUUAUCCAUUUUCUUACCAAAAAAGAUAGCAUAUUGUAAAAACACUGUUUUUCAACUUUUUUUCACUGAAUAUAUUCUGGAGAUUAUUCCAUAUCGGUUGUGGAGGCAAUUCCUAAUCCUUUCACCGUUGCAGUUUCAGUAUAUGCAUGUUGGGGAGACACAGACCGACAGUCCGUAACAUUGCCCAAUUCUCUGAGGAGGUUGUACCAUUCUGCAUGCCCGUCAACAAUAGACAAGAUACAUAUAGGCUGUUUUUAUUAGUUUACCUACUCAGGGUCUAAUUAAAAGAUAACACUUGGCCCCAGGUUCUUUUUGGCUCAAAUUAUGCCUAACAUUAAAAUAUAAUUAGGGGCCGGCCUGGUGGCACAGCGGUUAAGUGCACGCGUUCCACUUCAGUGGCCCAGGGUUCGCUGGUUCCGAUCCUUGGUGCAGACAUGGCACCGCUUGGCAAGCCAUGCUGCGGUAAGCGUCCCACGUAUAAAGUAGAGGAAGAUGGGCACAGAUGUUAGCUCAGGGCGAGUCUUCCUCAGCAAAAAGAGGAGGAUUGGCAGUAGUUAGCUCAGGGCUAAUCUUCC